CCGAUCAGGUUGUUGGUGAGGUAAUGGCUCACCAAGCCUUUUACCGGUGCGGGCCGUGAGAGCGGGAGCCCGGAGAUGGGCACUGAGACAAGGGCCCAGGCCCUACGGGGCGCAGCAGUCGCGAAAACUUUGCAAUAAGCGAAAGCUUGACAGGGCUAUCCCGAGUGCCAUCCGCUGAGGAAGGCUUUUACCCAGUCUAGAACGCUGGGGGAAUAAGGAGAGGGCAAGUCUGGUGUCAGCCGCCGCGGUAAUACCAGCUCUCCGAGUGGUGUGGAUGUUUAUUGGGCCUAAAGCAUCCGUAGCUGGCUAGGUUAGUCCCCUGUUAAAUCCACCGAAUUAAUCGUUGGAUUGCGGGGGAUACUGCUUGGCUAGGGGACGAGAGAGGCAGACGGUAUUUCCGGGGUAGGGGUGAAAUCCUAUAAUCCCGGGAAGACCACCAGUGGCGAAGGCUGUCUGCUAGAACGCGCCCGACGGUGAGGGAUGAAAGCUGGGGGAGCGAACCGGAUUAGAUACCCGGGUAGUCCCAGCUGUAAACGAUGCAGACUAGGUGUUUGGACGGCCACGUGCCGUUCUAGUGCCGCAGGGAAGCUGUUAAGUCUGCCGCCUGGGGAGUACGAUCGCAAGAUUGAAACUUAAAGGAAUUGGCGGGGGAGCACA
rnacentral:rRNA from 1 species